rnacentral:rRNA from 2 species
UGCAGUCGACGAGCUUCCGUUGAUGACGUGCUUGCACUGAUUUCAACAAUGAAGCGAGUGGCGAACUGGUGAGUAACACGUGGGGAAUCUGCCCAGAAGCAGGGGAUAACACUUGGAAACAGGUGCUAAUACCGUAUAACAACAAAAUCCGCAUGGAUUUUGUUUGAAAGGUGGCUUCGGCUAUCACUUCUGGAUGAUCCCGCGGCGUAUUAGUUAGUUGGUGAGGUAAAGGCCCACCAAGACGAUGAUACGUAGCCGACCUGAGAGGGUAAUCGGCCACAUUGGGACUGAGACACGGCCCAAACUCCUACGGGAGGCAGCAGUAGGGAAUCUUCCACAAUGGACGAAAGUCUGAUGGAGCAAUGCCGCGUGAGUGAAGAAGGGUUUCGGCUCGUAAAACUCUGUUGUUAAAGAAGAACACCUUUGAGAGUAACUGUUCAAGGGUUGACGGUAUUUAACCAGAAAGCCACGGCUAACUACGUGCCAGCAGCCGCGGUAAUACGUAGGUGGCAAGCGUUGUCCGGAUUUAUUGGGCGUAAAGCGAGCGCAGGCGGUUUUUUAAGUCUGAUGUGAAAGCCUUCGGCUUAACCGGAGAAGUGCAUCGGAAACUGAGAGACUUGAGUGCAGAAGAGGACAGUGGAACUCCAUGUGUAGCGGUGGAAUGCGUAGAUAUAUGGAAGAACACCAGUGGCGAAAGGCGGCUGUCUAGUCUGUAACUGACGCUGAGGCUCGAAAGCAUGGGUAGCGAACAGGAUUAGAUACCCUGGUAGUCCAUGCCGUAACGAUGAGUGCUAAGUGUUGAGGGUUUCCGCCCUUCAGUGCUGCAGCUAACGCAU